GUCCUAGCUGUAAACGAUGAUGACUAGGUGUGGGAGGUAUCGACCCCUUCCGCGCCGACGCUAACGCAUUAAGUCAUCCGCCUGGGGAGUACGGCCGCAAGGUUAAAACUCAAAGGAAUUGACGGGGGCCCCGCACAAGCGGUGGAGCAUGUGGUUUAAUUCGACGCUACGCGAAGAACCUUACCUGGGCUCGAACGACUGGUGGUACCUUAUUUGAAAGGAUGAGGGACCCGCAAGGGAGCCAGCCGAGGUGCUGCAUGGUUGUCGU
rnacentral:rRNA from 1 species